rnacentral:rRNA from 1 species
CCUACGGGGGGCAGCAGUGAGGAAUAUUGGGCAAUGGACGAGAGUCUGAACCAGCCAAGUAGCGUGAAGGAUGACUGCCCUAUGGGUGGUAAACUUCUUUUAUAUGGGAAUAAAACAGGGUAUGCAUACCCUCUUGUAUGUACCAUAUGAAUAAGGAUCGGCUAACUCCGUGCCAGCAGCCGCGGUAAUACGGAGGAUCCGAGUGUUAUCCGGAUUUAUUGGGUUUAAGGGGAGCGUAGGUGGGUUGUUAAGUCAGUUGUGAAAGUUUGCGGCUCAACCGUAAAAUUGCAGUUGAAACUGGCAGUCUAGAGUACAGUAGAGGUGAGCGGAAUUCGUGGUGUAGCGGUGAAAUGCUUAGAUAUCACGAAGAACUCCGAUUGCGAAGGCAGCUCACUGGACUGCAACUGACACUGAUGCUCGAAAGUGUGGGUAUCAAACAGGAUUAGAUACCCCAGUAGUC